GACGAACGCGGCGGCGUGCCUAAUACAUGCAAGUAGAACGCUGAAGGAGGAGCUUGCUUCUCCGGAUGAGUUGCGAACGGGUGAGUAACGCGUAGGUAACCUGCCUGGUAGCGGGGGAUAACUAUUGGAAACGAUAGCUAAUACCGCAUAAGAGUAGAUGUUGCAUGACAUUUGCUUAAAAGGUGCAAUUGCAUCACUACCAGAUGGACCUGCGUUGUAUUAGCUAGUUGGUGAGGUAACGGCUCACCAAGGCGACGAUACAUAGCCGACCUGAGAGGGUGAUCGGCCACACUGGGACUGAGACACGGCCCAGACUCCUACGGGAGGCAGCAGUAGGGAAUCUUCGGCAAUGGACGGAAGUCUGACCGAGCAACGCCGCGUGAGUGAAGAAGGUUUUCGGAUCGUAAAGCUCUGUUGUAAGAGAAGAACGAGUGUGAGAGUGGAAAGUUCACACUGUGACGGUAUCUUACCAGAAAGGGACGGCUAACUACGUGCCAGCAGCCGCGGUAAUACGUAGGUCCCGAGCGUUGUCCGGAUUUAUUGGGCGUAAAGCGAGCGCAGGCGGUUAGAUAAGUCUGAAGUUAAAGGCUGUGGCUUAACCAUAGUACGCUUUGGAAACUGUUUAACUUGAGUGCAAGAGGGGAGAGUGGAAUUCCAUGUGUAGCGGUGAAAUGCGUAGAUAUAUGGAGGAACACCGGUGGCGAAAGCGGCUCUCUGGCCUGUAACUGACGCUGAGGCUCGAAAGCGUGGGGAGCAAACAGG
rnacentral:rRNA from 1 species